rnacentral:rRNA from 1 species
GACGAACGCUGGCGGCGUGCUUAACACAUGCAAGUCGAACGGAAAGGCCCUGCUUUUGUGGGGUGCUCGAGUGGCGAACGGGUGAGUAACACGUGAGUAACCUGCCCUUGACUUUGGGAUAACUUCAGGAAACUGGGGCUAAUACCGGAUAGGAGCUCCUGCUGCAUGGUGGGGGUUGGAAAGUUUCGGCGGUUGGGGAUGGACUCGCGGCUUAUCAGCUUGUUGGUGGGGUAGUGGCUUACCAAGGCUUUGACGGGUAGCCGGCCUGGGAGGGUGACCGGCCACAUGGGGACUGCGGUACGGCCCAGACUCCUACGGGAGGCAGCAGUGGGGAAUAUUGCACAACGGGCGGAAGCCUGAUGCAGCAACGCCGCGUGCGGGAUGACGUCCUUCGGGUGGUAAACCGCUUUCGCCGGUGACGAAGCGUGAGUGACGGUAAUGGGUAAAGAAGCACCGGCUAACUACGUG